GGGGAAUAUUGGACAAUGGGCGCAAGCCUGAUCCAGCCAUACCGCGUGGGUGAAGAAGGCCUUCGGGUUGUAAAGCCCUUUUGUUGGGAAAGAAAACUUGCAGGUUAAUACCCAGCAAGUCUGACGGUACCCAAAGAAUAAGCACCGGCUAACUUCGUGCCAGCAGCCGCGGUAAUACGAAGGGUGCAAGCGUUACUCGGAAUUACUGGGCGUAAAGCGUGCGUAGGUGGUUGUUUAAGUCUGUUGUGAAAGCCCUGGGCUCAACCUGGGAACUGCAGUGGAAACUGGACGACUAGAGUGUGGUAGAGGGUAGCGGAAUUCCCGGUGUAGCAGUGAAAUGCGUAGAGGUCGGGAGGAACAUCCAUGGCGAAGGCAGCUACCUGGACCAACACUGACACUGAGGCACGAAAGCGUGGGGAGCAAAC
rnacentral:rRNA from 1 species